CUUCAGCGAGCCGAGCCAGAGCGGCCGGUCGGCCGGGCGGUUCCUGCCGUACGUGGCCAGCAGGGCGUUCGCCUC
rnacentral:antisense_RNA from 1 species